AUACAGCUGACGAGUCCCAAAUAGGACGAAACGCGCGUCCUGGAU
rfam:Schistosoma haematobium scaffold553_3, whole genome shotgun sequence.